AGUAUUUCUUGGAAGUGUGGAGAGAGAUUGUAUUCAUUAACCAGCGUUUUUCUGCUUUUGCUUGUAAAGUACUUCAUAGAAGAAAAAAAAAAUGAUUUUGCUUGAAAGUACUCUCAAAAGACUAAGAUACCUAAAGCUGGGCCAGAAAUGGUUUUAGGAGAGGGAGGAAAAGGAAAUAGCUAAGAGACUGCAUUCAAAUGUCAUUUUUCACUGCAUUUUUAUCUUUUCUAUACAGUUCUGAAACAGAAGCUUUUACUUAAACAUCAUAGAUUUGCCUUGAAUAUUGACUGCAUGGUGCUCUGCUUAGACCUCUGCAUCCUGCUUGUACAAAAUUUCUACAGGUUCUGUGAGGAAUUCAUUCAAGCCUAAUGACACUGUGUCCUAAAGGGUAAGGUGUAAUGAAUAGUUUUUUUUAGUGGUAUUAGGCUUUCAUAUAGUGAGGCACGUUUCUUUCUCACUUGGGUACAAUCUCAUGAGGACCUGAGGACCAUUGCCUUGCAGACUUGGCUCUGCAAAGAUGUUCUUAGCAGGAGCUGGGAACUCCUGUAUUGCUCACAGAUAAGAUAAAACCCUGAUAACCAACAGUCUUGGUUAUCAGCAUACCAGUGCUGGUAAAAGAAAGAGUAACUAAUACUGUUAAAAGAAAGGGUAACAGUUUCUUUCGUGCCAGU
rnacentral:lncRNA from 1 species